rnacentral:rRNA from 1 species
GAUGAACGCUGGCGGCGUGCCUAAUACAUGCAAGUCGAGCGAACGGACGAGAAGCUUGCUUUUCUGAUGUUAGCGGCGGACGGGUGAGUAACACGUGGAUAACCUACCUAUAAGACUGGGAUAACUUCGGGAAACCGGAGCUAAUACCGGAUAAUAUUUUGAACCGCAUGGUUCAAAAGUGAAAGACGGUCUUGCUGUCACUUAUAGAUGGAUCCGCGCUGCAUUAGCUAGUUGGUAAGGUAACGGCUUACCAAGGCAACGAUGCAUAGCCGACCUGAGAGGGUGAUCGGCCACACUGGAACUGAGACACGGUCCAGACUCCUACGGGAGGCAGCAGUAGGGAAUCUUCCGCAAUGGGCGAAAGCCUGACGGAGCAACGCCGCGUGAGUGAUGAAGGUCUUCGGAUCGUAAAACUCUGUUAUUAGGGAAGAACAUAUGUGUAAGUAACUGUGCACAUCUUGACGGUACCUAAUCAGAAAGCCACUGCUAACUACGUG